CAGUCGCCACGGGAAAACGUAGGGCGCAAGCGUUGUCCGGAAUUAUUGGGCGUAAAGAGCUCGUAGGCGGUCUGUCGCGUCUGGUGUGAAAUCCCGAGGCUCAACCUCGGGCUUGCAUCGGGUACGGGCAGACUAGAGUGCGGUAGGGGAGACUGGAAUUCCUGGUGUAGCGGUGGAAUGCGCAGAUAUCAGGAGGAACACCGAUGGCGAAGGCAGGUCUCUGGGCCGCAACUGACGCUGAGGAGCGAAAGCAUGGGGAGCGAACAGGAUUAGAUACCCCCGUAGUCCCUGUCUCUUAUAC
rnacentral:rRNA from 1 species